UGGUGGAGCGAUUUGUCUGGUUAAUUCCGAUAACGAACGAGACUCUAGCCUAUUAAAUAGUUCGCCGAUCACGUUACGUCGGCGUCAACUUCUUAGAGGGACGAAGUGGCGGUUUAGUCCACGCGAGAUUGAGCAAUAACA
rnacentral:rRNA from 1 species